rnacentral:rRNA from 1 species
GGAAUCUUCCACAAUGGACGAAAGUCUGAUGGAGCAACGCCGCGUGAGUGAAGAAGGGUUUCGGCUCGUAAAACUCUGUUGUUAAAGAAGAACAUAUCUGAGAGUAACUGUUCAGGUAUUGACGGUAUUUAACCAGAAAGCCACGGCUAACUACGUACCAG